UUUGCUUUUAGCAUACCCUGCAGUGCCUGUGCUAAAGUCAUAUUGAUCUUGGUAAACUGCCUUCUUGGCCUGUCUUGUCUGUGCUGGAAGUUUUGAGAUGGCGGUGCUGCAAUCGUAACUGCUCCAACAGCAUGGUCACGAUUUUUCUUGUUACGACCCCUUUGACCGUACACCGCAUUUGAUUCGUUCCUCCCCUGAUAGGACCUUUUGGUGCUUGCAGAGGUAGUCGCCUGUAUCUUUCCACUUCGAAUGCCGCUUUCAACACGUU
rnacentral:lncRNA from 1 species